UACUCGGGUCGAGUUUAUCUUCAACAGUGCACCCUGGGGGUUGCUAGGGAAAAAUGUUUAAAGACCCACCCCAUCACAAGUAGGCCUGUGUGGCAAGCAUUGUCCCUGGUGCAACUGUGGAGACACAAAACAAACAGUUUAGACAUGGCAUAGCCCCAGAGCCCAACCUUAAGUAGGCACUCGCGUAUCUGCUAGUUUACUGAAUUAAUUAAACAUAUAAUCUAGUUUGAGAGAGGCAAAUGACAGAUAUGAUGUAAUUAAAAACCAAAUGCCAAACUGCAUGAUACUAACUAUAAAUAAAGGUGGAACUAUAAAUAAAGGUGGAAGAGGAAGGGGAGAUUGAAAUGGACAACAGAGCUGCAGAGGUUGUCACUGACUCGUCACAGACCCAGGGUGGCCUCCUGGCAGGGAAAAGGAGGAGACCCCUGCUGGAGGACAAAGACAAGAAGAGGAAGUGCUGCUUCCCUUGACAGCAACAUGUACUGAGUUCACUGUAGGGCAUGGGAUGAACUGCUGCUCUAAGUAUUACUGGGCGAGAAAACAGAGACUAGUCCUCAAAGUCAUCCACUCAGAAACCAUCUACACUGAGCACACAGCCAAGGAAUCAAAGUUCACUUUCAGAUCAAAGGGAUUCUAUUCAGUGUCAGCCAGAAGGAGAGGCAGCUGGUCCCACACCCUGUGGGCAGGAAAGCACAAAGGUACAGCCGUGCUGCAGAGCAGUCUGGAAAUACUUCUUUUUUGACCCAGAAACUCCACUUCUGGAAAUCUCUCCUAGGGAAAUCAUUAAGGACAAGCAUAGAGACCAGGCUGAGAGGGAGUUCGUCACAGUUUUACUUAUAACUGUAAAAAGCUGAAAACAACCUCCAUGUCCAAAAAUAGAGGCUUUUUAGUUAAAUAUAUUAUAGCUUAUCCAUAUAAUGAAAUGCUGUACAGCUGCUAAAAGUGUUUAUGAUCUGUAGCGAAGUGGAAAAAGCAGGUCAUAAAGCAGUGUAUGUGGUAUAAUCUCAUUUUUAUAAAAAAAAAAAAUCACUCAUGAUAAUUAUAGAGAUCUAAAAGUAAAUGCACUAAAAUGUUAACAGAAUUUGGCUCUGCGUAGACCAGGUGACGGAUAUUUUUAUGUUCUUUUUGACUGGUCUGUAUUUCUGAUUUUUAUAUAAUGCACACAUAUGUUGUCUCUACCAAGAACAAUAAGAUAAAAUUACAGGGGAAGGGGCACUCGAUCAACCCCAGUGAAAGCUAGAAGCCCUGCUGUCUGCCCAAGGAAAGGAGCGUUCUAGACAGGAUUGGUGGGGGAGGCUGUAGGGACAGUGAGACCAUCACAGCCAUCGGCUGCUCCCAAAUGCAGGUGUGCAUGAGGAUGGACUACACAAAUACCCUGCUGUUCAGCUCAGAUUUAAAGAUUUCAAAGCAUUUUCCCAUUUUGUCUUAUUCAGCUUUCUUAGUCAUCUGAGCAUUAUCCCCAUUUGGCAGAUAAGAAAAGCGAGACUUAGAGACUUAGAUCAAAUGGCUUAAGAUCACAGAGUGGAAACAAGGGCUCACAGCUUAUCUGACACUAGACCCUUGUCAACAGCACCCCCACUCCAAAUGAGCGUUUGUGCUCAGCUGAAAGGCAGGUCAACAAAGCAGACAGAGCAGAGAUUCCGAGGCCACAGCCCUUGAUGUGAGUCCCUCCUCACCUCGAAGUUCAGCCUCUCAGCUCCUCCCAGGGAACGCUAAUCGCUACGCAUGGGGCAGUUGCCAGAAUGAGGCGCCGUCGUCACACAGGUCAAUCCACAAGCACCACACGUGGCUCUGGGCAGGGCGGGAUCUAUGCUAACCCCCUGGAACCCCGACCUCAGGGUGGCCGAGCUCAGAGAUGGCCAUCACUAUCAGAAAGACUUCAGUCCAGGCCUAAGGCUAGACUUGGUACAGUUCUCACUGCCCAGCUCUGGCGCCAUGCCCAAGCCAGAACAGGGAAGCCUUUCCUCCCGCACGGGCCCUCCAGCCCUGGAGACUACUCUUCUCUAAAAGGCCCUAUCCCUUCAGCACGGACCCACCUGAUGAGGUCUGGUCUCAAGGAAUCACAGUCCAGUCCACGGACGGUCACCAGGCUCCUCCCCAACCAUCCCUCCUCCUUCUCCCCUGGAAGGACCGCCUCCAAGGAGAGAAGGGCACACAGGGUCCUGGGCGGCUUUGACGAGAGGGCUCCUAUUCAGAAGAGCUGAGCUGUGGACAUCUGUCAUGGACCCUCUCUCUGAUUCUCCUGGUGGGACCACGCCCCUGCAUCACAGCCUUCAGGCCACACAGAAGCCAAUCCUGGGGCAUGAGGCUGGCCACUGGAGCUAGAUCACAGAGGGAACCCCUGAUUAGAGAGAGAUGCUUCUUCUGUGGUCUACGUGCAUGGAAGUCUUUAGGGAAGAUGACAGAUCGUAAGUCAUAACCACCCACGAUCUGAAGAAUUUCCAACUCAACUUGUUCCAAGCCUUUUCCCAUGGCACUCAGAUGCCGAGGACCGGCAAGGUACGGGGAACAAACACACGGGCGAUGCAUGAUAGAAGCCCCUCAUCAAGGGACUGCGUCCCUUGUGCUGAUGUAUCUGAAGCUUGCUCUGGUAGGAGGCCCCCCGGAGACAGCGAGGAGCCCCAGGAGCAUCUUCCGAAAACACCUGUCGGUAAACAUGUUAAGUGUCCCGGUCUAACUACUUACGGUAAGCUGAAGUCCGUGAGUGGGUGAAGACACUCAGUUUCAAGCUGGGGAGAGCAAGGCUGGGAUCCAAGCCUUUUGGAGCUGGGAUCUCUGUUUAAACACUAGUGCUCAUCAGCUUUGGGGAAAAGGCAGCACUUCUGAAAAGCCUCCCUUGCGAGUUCCUUUGCCCCUUCACCCUGCCCACUGCAGAAGCGGGGUGUCUUCGUUCCUUCCUGACACCAUGUCAUGAGAUGGGAUGCUCAGCUUCUCACAGCGGGCCGUCCAUACAGAGCCCCGGGCCAGCUUUACAUGAGGCAGGCAAAAGAAGCUGGAACAUUUUCCAAGGGGAGGUCAUUAUGUAACCCGAACGCUAUCCUUCAUUGCACCUGUGCUUCUGGGAAGAGCAAGAGGUCCAUGAGCUCUGCAGACUCCAGAGAAGGGGGCGUCGUUAGGAUCGGCCCGCAGCCUCUGGCCAGGGAGGGCAGUCCAACCGAGACUCCUAAGAGUCUCCUCUCUUAGGAGCACUGGGUUUAGCAUGCUUCUUAUGAAGACAGCUGUCUGAGGAUUUUGAAUGGCUCUCACCUUUUAAAGGACGACUACUCAAAUCAACCGUCCAUUCCACUGUGAAUAGCCUUUUGUGAAAAAACCGUGAACAUGGGCCCAAUUCCAAAGACCUCUGACCUUCUGGGUCUGCCUCUGGCAGGACUGGCAAAGCACAGAGGGAGUGAUCUUGGGCCCCCUCCUCGAGCAAACCUCUCCAUCUGCCCCGGGCCACUGGGUGCUGACCAUCCUCCAACCAUCCAUAUCGCUUCCUCCCCAACUGGCACUCCGGACCUCGGUCUCUGCUUGCUCUGCCUCUAAAGAAUUCCCUCUCAACGUACCAUUCCGGGGUUCGCUCCUGGGACCACACCCUCUGCCAGACAAGGCAGAUAUAUAAAGCAACUCUCCCCUGGAAUUGGAUGUUACCUGGGGCUCCCAAAGAAGUCUAUCCAUUUGGGGGUCAUGCCCAGGAACAAAAGGAGCUAAACUUUGUUGCUUUGCCAGGCACAGUGCUAAGAACUUCAGCCCCUCAUUCCCUAUAAUCACGCUAUAAUGUAGAGACUCCUAUUACCUCUGUUUUACAGAUGAAAAACCGGAGUCCCAGGGAGGUAAAAGUCACUUGCCCAAGAUCUUAUAGCUAAUAAGUGACAAAGCUAGAGAUCAAACCUGGGCAGUCUGGCUCCAAAACACCAGGCUCUUAACCAAGACAUCAAAGGCACAAUUUCAAACCUGGGAGCAAAGGAGGAAGAGAGAAAAUGGGAGGCUCCAUGGAGCUCCCCAACACCGUGCCACCUUCUCUACCUGGCACAGAGGUCACGCAGUUUAACAGGAAGGUUUCCUACCCCCUCCUGGCCUUGCCUGCAGCUUGGUGGGCAUCAUCGGGCAAGUCCCUUCACCUUUCAGGCUCAGUGUCCCCAGUGAAAAAAGAAAGUGUUUGUAUAAGGGAUGAUUGGGAAGGCCCCGCUGACCCUCUGCCAUCAGCCCUUCUCUGUAUCCUACCGUCUGAUCUAGAAAGGAAGCUUAAUACCAGGCCACUGUUUCCAGGUUCAUAAUUUCCCUCCUCUUGGACACCAGAGCCUCAGGUCCUCCACGUCCCCUUCAUUCACCUGAAUGAAGGCUACUUCCUCCUCCCUGCCCCCUUCUACGGAUGUCAGCUGGCUGAGAGACCGAGCUCUACUGGACAUGUCUAAUCAGAGACUUACGUGAGACCCCAGUCUUCUUUUUCCCAGGCUUCUGGUGGCUAUGUAUGGUGCUAGAGUAACCUCUCUCCAGUGGGCUGUCAGCAGAACCAACAUGCACUUCUUCUGCUCACCCCAGACGUCUCCCUCUAUCCCCCCUUUCCAUGAGAUGCAGCAAGCCAGCACGCCAGCUUCAAUCACACAGACGAGGAUGGCACCCUAGUGGAUGGGGAGAAAUGAGAACCUUCGAGAACACAGCUGCCCCACCAGCUGUGACCAGCCAGUUGGUGCCAGGACUCCCUUAUAUUGGAGCCAGUGAGUUUUUGGUCUCUGUGAGACAAGAACAUAUAUACGAAGGCUGUUCAUAAAGGCCAUAUCUGGGAAGGCAAGCCACUUCUAGCUCCCACUGGCCUAUCUGUGGAAAGUCACCCCAUGUCCAGCAGGUCUAAGUCCCAAAAUAGAUGGCAGCCAUGUGUCCACUAUUCCCCAGCCUUCCCACUUGUGAAAAGAACAUCUGUGCCCACUUGGUGUCCUGGAGAUUUCAUUUGCUACUUCAAUCUGUAUCCCAGAGCAAAGAUGUCUACUCACUUGAUUAAACCAGGACUAUCAGAAGCUAAAGAGUUUCUCCAUUUCGAUUCCCACUCUCUGUUUGUCUGCUUAGAUUUACAAGAUGGAAGGAAGGAGUUGAGGGGAUCGUGGGGGGAGCUGAGAUCCACUUCGGAAGUCCCUGAUCAUGGUAAUGAACUGAAAUGUACAACCUUUCAGAAAGAAGUCCGUAUCGGCUCUAUUACAGUGUGACGUCAGCAUGCUCACAGAGGUAUUGCCCGUAAUCGGCAGGGAAGGACUCUGAAUCAUCGAGAUAUGCCCAGUAUGUCACCUACAAAGAAAACACAUCUCACCAUGCCAGGCUAGGAGUAAAGGUGUCUGGAUCACCUGAAUGACAUGAUGGGCAUCUCCGUAAAAAUGCCACCAAGGGAACUUGUACAAAUUCCACUCCAUAACUGAGCACUGAUUACAUGCCAAGUCCUGCACUGAGCUGUGAGGAUGGCAAACAAGCAAAACAAACAGCUCCUCCUUUAGAGGAACUCACAGACUGGCAGGGGCGGCUGAUACCGGGACAACUGAUGCUAGUACGAUUCUCACGUCACCUACUGAUCUACUGAGCAGUGAAUCUGACCAACUCUGAACAGGUGAGUCCCAGAGGCUGUCAGAGAAGACAGGACAUAUGAGUUGAAGGUACAGAAUUUACAGGAAGAAAUCUGGGCAAGGAGCAGGAAUGGUGGUGGAAGAAAAACAAAGGUGAGGCUGCCAAGAGGGGUCUAGUGCAAAUCAAGAGUAUCCCCUAGCGAGCUGAAUGUUUUCUACAUGAAGAAACCUCACCUGGACCAAGCAUGCUCUGAUCCACAUGCCAACAGAGCAGAAUGGUUAAGAACAUGGGCUUUAGACGGAGGCCCCUUCUGCCUCCACUAGGAGAGCGUGGGCUCUGCCUUGAGUCCUGCCUCAACCACUUCCUGGCUUCAGGACCCUGGACAGCUUAUCUAAACUGCCUGUGCCUUGGUCUUCUCAUCUGUAAAACUGGAAAGAAUAAUAGAGGCCACUUCCUAGGGUGGUGGUGAAGACUGGCUAAGAUAUCCAAAUAGAGGGCACCUAGUGGGCAUUCCAAUAACCUCAACCAGUUUCAUCUCCUUUGUCUGUAAAUUACAGGUUUGGAAGAUUUCAGAGACAGUGAAGCUCUAAUUGAUAAGGAAUGACGUUGGCUGUGGAUUCCCAAUAAGCCAAGGCUACCAUUAGCUGGCCAGGGGAAGAGCUCGUAGCCACGGCUGAAAGCACGGAUGUGGGAGUAAUACUCCCAGGCUCUGGCUGAAAACCUUGGUCUGGUCAGACCUCGGGAGACUGUGGUGGCGGGGGAAGAGGUACGCGCUGGAUGCACACCCUGGGGGCAGCUGCACUCGGCUCCAGCCCGGGCUUGCCCUUCCCUUCUUCCUGAAGAAGCCAGGAAGCCACAUUUUUAACAGGAUGGUCUCAAUUUGGCAAUGUCAGCAGCUAUUUCAAAAGCGCUGGGAAUGCUGAGCUGAUGACACCAACCCUCCCUCAGGCACUGGCAGGCUUGUGGCUCACGACGGAGUACACUGGCAUUCACUGAAUGUUUGUCCAGUCUCCAGUGGAAAGUUCUCAAGGAACUUGAAGAAGAAAGAGGAACCAAAGAGUGCUACUACACAGAAUUAGGACCAAGAGCCUCUUGAACUCCUCAGAGAGCUGGCCCGUCUUUGGGCAUCUGCACAAAUAGUAUUUUGGCUAUUGUAAGUCACUUCUUAUGGUGCCCCAUCAAACACUCAGCUUUUAUGCUCAUAUUUAGAUCAUGUUCACUAUGUGCCGGGCCUUCAAAACGUAGGAGCUUGUGGAAUCCGCAGGACAACCCAAGGAGAGCUGGACAGACAAAGAAACUGAGGCCCAGGGCCAGUACGUGGUGGCGGUGGGCAAUGGAGCAGGCAGAAGGCUAAGCUCCAGUGCUCAGAACCACCACUCUGCACCACCUCUCUCCUGGCCGGCAUCAGCUCUUGGGGCUGGGACCCCCCUAGGCUGAGAGCCACUUCCUCUGACACAAGCAACCCUUCCCUCUCCCGUAUGUGUGUGACACUGUGUGAGCCCACGGAAGCCAGCCAGGACCAGGGCUCCCGGAAGACAGCCAGCGUGUCCCAAGUGCCUCAGCACCAUGGCUGGGGGCCCACUGCUAGCCACGUAUGACGGGGGCCCAGCCCCAGCAACCAGCAACCAGCAACCCGGCCUCCUUGGCCACUUGCAGCCAUGAGACUGAGAGGGCUAUGCUGCCUACAAAGGGCUGCUGGGGCCAGUCCAUCUUAGAGCUGAUGUGAGGGCCCAAGCUCUUGCUGCGAAGUGGGCCCCAGAGCCACCCCUCCCUCCGCAACUAGCAAAACACUCCCAGCAACAGCCCACCGGGCCCCGGGUGCCCAGCGACUGCCCGAUGAAGCUUUACUCUCCUUGCAGGAUAUUGUUUCUGGCCCCAAAUCACACACAAACUCCCACAAGCCCAAGUCAUGUGAGGUGAGGAAGCAGGCAGCAGGAAGGUGGCACACAGCCCGGCACAGCCUGCAGAGCCCCCAGGACCCCUCCAGCAGCCUCAGGGGACUGUGCCCGCCAAAGCGCCAGUGCGUUCCGCCAAGAGUGACAGCGUCUUUCCCCGGGCCGCAGGGAGGUUCAGAAGAUUAAUUAGACGAACCUGGCAGAACUCGAGGUUCCCCAGGGAACUGGUUGAAUAUGUCACCCCUGACACAAAGCUCUGAAGUGUGCCUCGGGCUGGGUCUUUGUUCACCAUUGCGCAGGACAACCCAGUCAGACAGCCCACGGCACACGAGUGCCCAGGGCCCUGGCCUCCGUGCCAGCCACAGUCAGUCACAAUGCAUGGUUUGGACAGUAGGUGGCAGGAGGGAGCAGAGCUGCUUCAGAUGCUCCCUUUCUUCAGGUGGCCUUUAAAUUCAUAUUCAAAACCUCCUCCUCCUCCAGGAAGCCUUCCUGGCCCUGCCAGCCUGUGUGACCUCUCUCAUCUCUAAAAAGCUAUUAGCCAUGCCCGACUUUUACCACCUGCUGUCUUGUUUGGGGCUGAUAUUUUAAAAUAUCAUUUGAUAAACAUUUAGUAUGCACCAGGUAGCGUGGUCAGUGCUUUACAUACGUUAUUUGACUCAACCUUUAGAAUAAAUCUAUGAAGUAAAUGUGAUUAUAGCAAUUUCACAGAUGAGGAAGUCACAGCUUGGAAAGGUCAAACAAUGUGUGUGUGUCCUGCGUCUGUCGUCUUCCUCUCCGUGGGACUAUCCUCUCACGUGGGAUUGCACGCUCCUCCUGGGCAACCAGGCUGACGUUUACGCUUCCUUCUAGGCCCAGAGCCCCCAGGCGCACAACUGAACACCAGAUCACUGGCUGUUACGGUGACUGCCAUUCGCAGGGACCAAUCCACCUUUCUUCACUUAGCCCAGAGGCAGCAUUAAUGAAUAACACUGGUCAGCCACAUCGCGAAGGGGCCAUUCGACAAGAAUCCUGGCCUGUUCUGGGCAGUAUCUUAAUUAUAGAAAAGAAAAAUCCUGCUUUCAUUGCAUAUUAAUUAUCGGAACACUUUACUGGAAUUCUGCUGAGGAACUGAAGGUCUGAGGGAACGAUGUGUGGCAGGGCCCACACCAUGCGAUGUGCUGUGGGCCCAACCCCAAAGCCUUGCUGGGAGGUGCUGAGCCAGGGCACAGGGUCGGCCUGUGGGCUCCAUGCAGCAUGGCCCCGGGGGACAGCCACCCAGGAGGGAAGGCGUGGGCUCACCUUU